UAGGGAAUCUUCGGCAAUGGACGAAAGUCUGACCGAGCAACGCCGCGUGAGUGAAGAAGGUUUUCGGAUCGUAAAACUCUGUUGUUAGAGAAGAACAAGGACGUUAGUAACUGAACGUCCCCUGACGGUAUCUAACCAGAAAGCCACGGCUAACUACGUGCCAGCAGCCGCGGUAAUACGUAGGUGGCAAGCGUUGUCCGGAUUUAUUGGGCGUAAAGCGAGCGCAGGCGGUUUCUUAAGUCUGAUGUGAAAGCCCCCGGCUCAACCGGGGAGGGUCAUUGGGAACUGGGAGACUUGAGUGCAGAAGAGGAGAGUGGAAUUCCAUUGGGAGCGGUGAAAGGCGUAGAUAUAUGGAGGAACACCAGUGGCGAAAGCGGCUCUCUGGUCUGUAAAUGACGCUGAGGCUCGAAAGCGUGGGGAGCAAACAGG
rnacentral:rRNA from 1 species